rnacentral:lncRNA from 1 species
GCAUGUCAUACAUUCACUGAAAUAUUUAGUCGAAAUAUUUAACCUCUAAUAAAGUGACAAUAGUAUAUACCUUGCACUCAAUUAUUAUAUCUUAAACAAUUUCAACAAGAUAGUUGCGUAGAGAGAAAGGGAGGAAGGGAAAGAAGUAAAUGUGCUUUUGUACCUGAGAGAGAGUCUGCAACUUGUUUGCACUAAGUGAGAGCCACCAACUUAUUUGUGAUGGAGAGAAAGAGCUGGUAAUGUAUUUGUACUG